rnacentral:rRNA from 1 species
AUACGAACCCUACGAACGUUAUUCGGAAUCACUGGGCUUAAAGAGUGCGUAGGCGGCCUGGUAAGUUGGAUGUGAAAUCCCUCGGCUCAACCGAGGAACUGCGUUCAAUACUGCCAAGCUUGAGGGAGAUAGAGGUGAGCGGAACUAAUGGUGGAGCGGUGAAAUGCGUUGAUAUCAUUAGGAACGCCGGUGGCGAAAGCGGCUCACUGGGUCUCUUCUGACGCUGAGGCACGAAAGCUAGGGGAGCGAACGGGAUUAGAAACCCCGGUAGUCC